rnacentral:misc_RNA from 1 species
GUGAAUCAUCAAAUCUUUGAACGCAAAUUGCGCCUUCUUCGGAUGGGAUGUCUGUUUGGGGGCACCAUUUAACAAAUAAUGUGUAGCGUUUUUUGCUGCACACGUUGAUGAGCUUUCCAAGAAUUUUAAAUUUUUGGUGGCGCAUAAUGAACAGCGUGAAAGCUUUUUUCAGUUCGAGAGUAGUAACAUUUUUGCUUGGGUUGUGAAACAACAUAAU